rnacentral:rRNA from 1 species
UGAGUAACCUGCCCUUAACUCUGGGAUAAGCCUGGGAAACUGGGUCUAAUACCGGAUAUGACUCCUCAUCGCAUGGUCGGGGGUGGAAAGCUUUUUGUGGUUUUGGAUGGACUCGCGGCCUAUCAGCUUGUUGGUGAGGUAAUAGCUCACCAAGGCGAUGACGGGUAGCCGGCCUGAGAGGGUGACCGGCCACACUGGGACUGAGACACGGCCCAGACUCCUACGGGAGGCAG